rnacentral:tRNA from 1 species
GGAUUGUGGCCCAGUGGUAGAGCGCUCACCUUGCACAUGUGGGACCCUGAGUUCGAUCCUCAGCACCA